rnacentral:piRNA from 1 species
UGCCAGGAAUUCUUCUGUGUUGCUCUCUGA